rnacentral:rRNA from 1 species
UAGGGAAUCUUCCGCAAUGGGCGAAAGCUUGACGGAGCAACGCCGCGUGAGUGAUGAAGGUCUUCGGAUCGUAAAACUCUGUUAUUAGGGAAGAACAAAUGUGUAAGUAACUAUGCACGUCUUGACGGUACCUAAUCAGAAAGCCACGGCUAACUACGUGCCAGCAGCCGCGGUAAUACGUAGGUGGCAAGCGUUAUCCGGAAUUAUUGGGAGUAAAGCGCGCGUAGGCGGUUUUUUAAGUCUGAUGUGAAAGCCCACGGCUCAACCGUGGAGGGUCAUUGGAAACUGGAAAACUUGAGUGCAGAAGAGGAAAGUGGAAUUCCAUGUGUAGCGGUGAAAUGCGCAGAGAUAUGGAGGAACACCAGUGGCGAAGGCGACUUUCUGGUCUGUAACUGACGCUGAUGUGCGAAAGCGUGGGGAUCAAACAGG